rnacentral:rRNA from 1 species
CCUACGGGUGGCAGCAGUGAGGAAUAUUGGUCAAUGGCCGAGAGGCUGAACCAGCCAAGUCGCGUGAGGGAAGACGGCCCUACGGGUUGUAAACCUCUUUUGUCGGGGAGCAAAGAGAGUCACGUGUGACUCAUUGAUAGUACCCGAAGAAAAAGCAUCGGCUAACUCCGUGCCAGCAGCCGCGGUAAUACGGGGGAUGCGCGCGUUAUCCGGAUUUAGUGGGUUAAAGGGGUGCGCAGGCGGAGUGGCAAGUCAGCGGUCAAAUUGCGGGGCUCAACCCCGUACUGCGGUUGAAACUGCAUGCCUUGAGUGCGCGAGAAGUAUGCGGAAGGCGUGGUGUAGCGGUGAAAUGCAUAGAUAUCACGCAGAACUCCGAUGGCGAAGGCAGCAUACCGGCGCGCAACUGACGCUCAUGCACGAAAGCGUGGGUAUCGAACAGGAUUAGAUACCCGAGUAGUC